UACAGAGGGUGCGAGCGUUGUCCGGAAUCACUGGGCGUAAAGGGUGCGUAGGCGGCCGGGUAAGUCUGAUGUGAAAUCUCACAGCUUAACUGUGAAACUGCAUUGGAUACUAUCCGGCUCGAGGAAUGGAGGGGAGACUGGAAUACUUGGUGUAGCAGUGAAAUGCGUAGAUAUCAAGUGGAACACCAGUGGCGAAGGCGAGUCUCUGGACAUUUCCUGACGCUGAGGCACGAAAGCCAGGGGAGCAAACGGG
rnacentral:rRNA from 1 species